rnacentral:miRNA from 12 species
UUUGUUGUCUUUCCUUGUGGCAGAUGAUUGAAAACUGAGCUAUUGCCCUAGCACAGGCAUUUGAUUAUCAUGUGUUGAGAUUGAUUUGCUAA